GGGGAAUCUUGGACAAUGGGCGCAAGCCUGAUCCAGCCAUGCCGCGUGAGUGAUGAAGGCCCUAGGGUUGUAAAACUCUUUCGUGGGGGACGAUAAUGACGGUACCCCAAGAAGAAGCUCCGGCUAACUUCGUGCCAGCAGCCGCGGUAAUACGAAGGGGGCUAGCGUUGUUCGGAUUUACUGGGCGUAAAGCGCGUGUAGGCGGACUGGAAAGUUGGGGGUGAAAUCCCGAGGCUCAACCUCGGAACUGCCUCCAAAACUUCCAGUCUGGACUCAAGCAGAGGCAAGUGGAAUUGCGAGUGUAGAGGUGAAAUUCGUAGAUAUUCGCAGGAACACCAGUGGCGAAGGCGACUUGCUGGGCUUGUAGUGACGCUGAGACGCGAAAGCGUGGGGAGCAAAC
rnacentral:rRNA from 1 species